CCUCGCUGCCUCUCUGUGUGCCGGGGGCAGGGGCAGGGCUGCACUCUGCAGGCUCCUGUCAGUCAGGCGGGGGGCCCCGUGGGCUGACACCGCCGCACCGGGAGCUCUCAGCUGUGCGCUGCCCCAGGGCCCAGGGAGGAAAGGCAAAUCAUUUUCAUAGCAGCAACAUGAUUUGAUGGGAGAUGCCAGCUGUAUUAUUAGCUGAAGAAACUUGGAAAAUUGUCGAGGGCUCAGCUAUUGUUGCGAAGAGUGAUUGAACAUACCUCCAAUGUAGAGCGGGGUAUUGAUGCUGACUGUGGGUUGUUUCUGCAGUUUGCCAAGACUCUUGGGGGUUCCUUUAUCCACAACCAAGUUCAGUGUUUGGUUCAGCAUAACCAACUCCACACUGUGAAACUGCCCAUCAUUUAUUGUUUCCACACUAAAGGAGAAAACAAAGAAGGGAAAGAAUCAGAAGGAGCUUAGCUGUGACUUUCUUGCUUACAGGCAAUCACCCACUUCUACCCUUGGAAAGAAAAUGGCAAACGGUUGGCUGCUUUGCAGUCAAUUGUCUUUUUUAUACUAAGCACUUUGCUAAGGGUAAAGAACUUAAAAGGUGCAACUUCAAACCUGUGUCAACUCUCAUGUAAUCAAUACAUAUACAGAUUCAACUCUUGAGAUGCUUGUUAGUUACUGGGGAGGCUGGGAGGAUUAGAAACAAUUUGUGGGCUGGGAAAUAGUCAAUUAACAUGACACGAAAAUGAACUCCAUAUUUGUUGUUUCUAAACCUACAGAUAUUUUUAUAUGUGAAAAGAGUUUCAAAUAAGUUAGGCACACAAUCUCUCCAAUAAUUGCACAUACUAAAUGUCAGUUUAGAUCACUUGUACAACACAUAAAAUUACCUGUUCUUCACAUGCAGUCAGAGCAAUUACACAGAAAUUAGGAGCACAAUUGUGCACCUAAGCUUUUCUGAACCCUAGCCCACCCGAUACAUUGGAAUACAUUUUAUCCGUAGAGCAACUUAAACUCUCAGCCCUGUAAGUUGCACACUGCAGUGCCAUGAAACAAUAUGGAAAUUUCAUUCCACUCCAAAGUGCAGAGAAAAGAGAGAGAGAGAUAGGAGAGGGAUGCAAAGGAUAAACAAGGGAUUAACUGCUCCUUGACAAAUCAGUGGGUUUUUCAAAGUGCACUCAUCGUGAAGGAAGUGAAGAGAUUUUUCCACUGAUGCAAAUUUAACAAAACAUUAUAGUCUCUCUUCAUUGUACACAUGUGAACUUUAAUACAUAAUAAGAUACUAAUAGUAAUGGCUACAGCAGGUGUUAAAUAAUGCGCUAUGUAAGCUACUCAUGCACUCAGCUUUGCUAAUGAAUAUCAUUCUUGACCAGCUGCAAGCCUUGUCCAGUGCCAGGCCUCUCCUGAAUAGACUCCCAAGUUGUGUGAUGGUUCUUCCAGGAAAGCAUGAGGGCAAAAAACGUUGUGUGGGAGUGAAGAAUUCCAAGAUGUUGCUUAGUCUAGAAAACUAAUUUGGAGUUGCUGGACAAAACAUGGUGACAGAUGAAUAGAAGUGCAUCAACUCAUUUAUUCUCAGUCAACCGGACCAUAUGCCCAGCUUCAUAUA